GACGAACGCUGGCGGCGUGCCUAAUACAUGCAAGUAGAACGCUGAAGGAGGAGCUUGCUCUUCUGGAUGAGUUGCGAACGGGUGAGUAACGCGUAGGUAACCUGCCUGGUAGCGGGGGAUAACUAUUGGAAACGAUAGCUAAUACCGCAUAACAGUAGAUGUUGCAUGACAUUUACUUAAAAGGUGCAAUUGCAUCACUACCAGAUGGACCUGCGUUGUAUUAGCUAGUUGGUGGGGUAACGGCUCACCAAGGCGACGGUACAUAGCCGACCUGAGAGGGUGAUCGGCCACACUGGGACUGGGACACGGCCCAGACUCCUACGGGAGGCAGCAGUAGGGAAUCUUCGGCAAUGGACGGAAGUCUGACCGAGCAACGCCGCGUGAGUGAAGAAGGGUUUCGGAUCGUAAAGCUCUGUUGUAAGAGAAGAACGAGUGUGAGAGUGGAAAGUUCACACUGUGACGGUAUCUUACCAGAAAGGGACGGCUAACUACGUG
rnacentral:rRNA from 1 species